CGCACGGGUGAGUAACACGUAUCCAACCUGCCGUCUACUCUUGGGCAGCCUUCUGAAGGGAAGAUUAAUACAAGAUGGCAUCAUGAGUCCGCAUGUUCACAUGAUUAAAGGUAUUCCGGUAGACGAUGGGGAUGCGUUUCAUUAGAUAGUAGGCGGGGUAACGGCCCACCUAGUCUUCGAUGGAUAGGGGUUCUGAGAGGAAGGUCCCCCACAUUGGAACUGAGACACGGUCCAA
rnacentral:rRNA from 1 species